UCAUAUUUGGUUAUAAGAAUAGGUUUUAUAGGAAAAUAUUAAUGAAAAGUUGUGCUCAUGAAAUUUGUCCGCUUAUGGAUCAUGUCUAUGGACUAUAUCGUCGCAUUUCCGCGAAAGUAUCGUAUGUUACUUUUUAUCGAAAUUGAGAUUUUAAUGCCAAAUUGUUAGAAAACUUAUGUCUCACUAUCCUGCAAAAUAAUAUAACUGAAAACGCUAUAGUUCCAAUAAAAACUAAGUUUCAAUUUUAUCGUAUGUAACUGUGAAUUUUUCUGUUCGCGCAAAAUUAUCGUAAGUCCAUACACAUUUUUUUUGCAUGUGGAACGAAUUACUGCAAACGCACAAAAAUAUAGAGAGAUAACAACAUUUUCAUAUCUUCAUUAUGUGCUCUUUCCAUUUUGCCGUUAAUUCCUCUUUACGCCGUUAAUUCUUGGUGUACGUUUUGAUAUUCAUUGAUCUAUCUGGUGAUAAGUGAAGCUGUGAAAGCCCAAAUUAGUCUUCAUUUAGUUUCAAACACAUCAAUAGUGAACAAAAUAUAAACAAUUGUGAUCAACAAAUGAUUUAUUUGUUAUGGAAUUUACCCAUGGAAAACUAGCUCAUGAAGUGUUUUUAGAUAGAUGUGAAGUCUUGUGAAAUCACCAGUCCCAUAUAGUGAUAGCGAUAACGAUGAUGAAGAGUGCUGCGUUGGAAAACGUGGACUUAAGCGCAAACCAGUGAGAAAGGAAAAGAAGAAAAAUGACAAUAGAGUACUUCCUAACCCGUGUAUAAAUACCAAAUGUAAGAAGGAUUGUCGAAGUGUGCCAGACAUUUCCCGGCAAAAUAUUAACGAACAUUACUGGGGUAUGUCAAACACAAGACGGCUAACAUGGCUUCAUGCAAAUAUCAAACAAAAGCAAAUUAAAAAAAAGGCGAGCUGGGCAGGAAGCAAAGCGUGUGCAAAGGCGAAACUGGACGUUUGAAUAUUCCCUAUUGUGGGAUGGAAAAAUAUUUAAAGUUUGCCAGAAUUUUUUUUGAAAACUUUAAAUAUUUCUCAAAUGGUUUUGAGACAUGCAUUAAAGAAAACUAUUAGUUUUGAAAGCCGA